AGCGGGGCCCCACACAGGCCGCAGCGGCUGGCUCGGGCCCCUACGGUCCCGGCGGCGGCUGGAGAAGGAAGCCAGGCGGCUGAAGAGAAGGGGAGGCGGAGGAGGCCGAGGUGGAGAGCCGCUCGUCGCAAACUCACUUCCCCGGCUCAGCAGGGAAAGGUUCCUAGGAGGCGAGUGUGGACGGUAUGCAAAGUUGUGAAUCCAGUGGUGACAGUGCGGAUGACCCUCUCAGUCGUGGCCUGCGGAGAAGGGGACAGCCUCGUGUGGUGGUGAUCGGCGCCGGCUUGGCUGGCCUGGCUGCUGCCAAAGCACUUCUGGAGCAGGGCUUUACGGAUGUCACUGUGCUUGAGGCUUCCAGCCGCAUUGGAGGCCGCGUACAGAGCGUGAAGCUUGGACACGCCACCUUUGAGCUGGGAGCCACGUGGAUCCAUGGCUCCCACGGGAAUCCCAUCUAUCAUCUAGCAGAAGCCAAUGGCCUUCUGGAAGAGACAACUGAUGGGGAGCGCAGUGUGGGCCGCAUCAGCCUCUACUCCAAGAAUGGCGUGGCCUGCUACCUCACCAACCAUGGCUGCAGGAUCCCCAAGGAUGUGGUUGAGGAAUUCAGUGAUUUAUACAACGAGGUCUAUAACUUGACCCAAGAGUUCUUCCGGCACGGUAAACCAGUCAAUGCUGAGAGUCAGAACAGCGUGGGGGUGUUCACCCGAGAGGAGGUGCGCAACCGCAUUAGGGAUGACCCUGAUGAUCCAGAGGCCACCAAGCGCCUGAAGCUCGCCAUGAUCCAGCAGUACCUGAAGGUGGAGAGCUGUGAGAGUAGCUCGCACAGCAUGGACGAGGUGUCCCUGAGCGCCUUUGGGGAGUGGACUGAGAUUCCCGGUGCCCACCACAUCAUCCCCUCGGGCUUCAUGCGGGUUGUGGAGCUGCUGGCUGAGGGCAUCCCGGCCCACAUCAUCCAGCUGGGGAAACCCGUCCGUUGUGUUCACUGGGACCAGGCCUCGUCCCACCCUUGGGGCCCUGAGAUUGAGCCCCGGGGUGAGGGUAACCAUAAUCAUGACACUGGGGAGGGCAGCCAGGGUGGAGAGGAGCCCCAGGGGGAGAGGCAGGAUGAGGAUGAGCAGUGGCCGGUGGUGGUGGAGUGCGAGGACUGUGAGGUGAUCCCAGCGGACCACGUGAUUGUGACCGUGUCGCUGGGCGUGCUCAAGAUGCAGCAUGCCAGCUUCUUCCGGCCAGGCCUGCCCGCUGAGAAGGUGGCUGCCAUCCACCGACUGGGCAUCGGCACCACCGACAAGAUCUUUCUAGAAUUUGAGGAGCCCUUCUGGGGCCCCGAGUGCAACAGCCUACAGUUUGUGUGGGAGGACGAGGCGGAGAGCCACACGCUCACUUACCCACCCGAGCUCUGGUACCGCAAGAUCUGUGGCUUUGAUGUCCUCUACCCGCCUGAGCGCUACGGCCACGUGCUGAGUGGCUGGAUCUGUGGGGAGGAGGCCCUUGUCAUGGAGAAGUGUGAUGACGAGGCAGUGGCUGAGAUCUGCACAGAGAUGCUGCGGCAGUUCACAGGGAACCCCAACAUUCCAAAGCCUCGGCGAAUUCUGCGCUCAGCCUGGGGCAGCAACCCCUACUUCCGGGGAUCCUAUUCAUAUACACAGGUGGGCUCGAGUGGGGCAGAUGUGGAGAAGCUGGCCAAGCCCCUGCCAUACACGGAGAGCUCCAAGACAGCGGGUUGACCCACCAGACAUCCCUCAUGGAGUUUAUGUCAGGGAUUCAUGUUCGCCUGAUGCAUAACUUGAAAAACUGCAGGCUGGAGCACAGGAGUGAACACAUUGACCUACCUAUGAGGAGAGGUGGUCAGGAUGUAGGUAGGAGAUGACUGCAAACACAACUCUUGCCUGCUUCUCUCUGCUCCUUGGCCUUUUCUUGCAUGUAUCCGUCAAGCUUGCUCCCACCUGCCUUCCCCUAUUCCCUGUUUUGGGGUGCCUUUGUCAGGAGUCUAACGUAAUGUCCAGGGAUGCUGAACAUCCACUAGUCAGAAGAGGCAGGGCCUCUCCUGUGUCAGCAGGUUACCCCACUCUUUGGCAUGUUGGCUGGGCUAGCCUGGCCUGCACACUGUUGGGGAAACUAAGGCAGGCUGAGAUUGGCGGCGGAGGUCUGCAGCCUUAUCACAGGCCAGUCCCCUCUCCUAAGUAAGAGCAAUGUCCAGGCCCAGGAGAUGCUGCUGAGAUGGUGGUUAAGGCUGAAACUGGCCAAUCUGGCCAAGCCUCGCUGAGGAGUGACAGCGCUGAAGCCAAGGGGGGACUGUGUGAUUAACAGCACUCUUUUGGUAUCACCAGAAGGGAACUUGUUCUUGGCAGAAUGUCAUAAUUCACAGCCAGUCUUGUUCAUAGCUUGCAGCCAACCAUGAACUAUUAGGCUGCACCCCAGCCUUUCCCCUUUCCCACCUCCUCCCUCACCAGUGACUUUUCUAUCCACAAGCAGCCAUUUUCUCUAGCCAGAAAGAAAUAGAGGGGUUAAAAAUACCAUGUACCAUAUUCAGGUCUUUCUCUGCCAACAGGGCUAGCAGAGAUGGAAUUCCCAGUCCUAGACUCCCUUUCUCUCUCCUAGUUCUUUCAGCUGCUCACUCAGUGCUUCUGACUCUAGAACUCAAUUGCACCUUCCCCAAGAGAGGCUGGGAAGCAGUGGACCUCUUUGCAAUAUUUUAAAGGGUCGGCCUCUCUCAUAAGGCACACUUGAGCUGAGACCUGAAGACCCUCUGGGGGAGUGAGUCAUGCAUCUACCUGAAGAAAGAGAAUUCCAGACAGAGGAGAGGGCAUGUGCAAAGGCCCUGAGGCAGCAGGGUACCGCACAAGUUCAAGGACAACCAAGAAGUUAGGACUGCUGGAACAGAGAAGGGGAGGGAGAGAUGGUAAGAGAUAAGGCCAUUUUGAAGCAGAGACAAUCAUAAAAGGCUGUCAGGAAGAGGUGACCUGAAUAGGGUCCAGGUCUCAGAUGGAUUAUAAAGACACAGAGUUGAGGAUAUUGUGGGGCUAGCUGUGCCAAGCUAAAUCUCUUGAAUUCCUUGCAUUGCCAAUCUUCCAUGGUGAGAGGUAACUGGUGGGUCCUCUGGCUUGAGAUAGACAAAGAAUAGAUCAGAAGUCCUUCUGUGCCCUGUGUUUACCUCAGGAUCCUUGAGCUCUGUGGGGCUGGCCUAGAGCUACUGGUCUGGCCCUGGACAUCCUUCUGCAGCUGUGCAGAUUGGCAGGGAGGGGUAGUUCCUAGAGCCACAGAGGCUGCCUGGUGGGGCCCAAGGCAGGGAGAUGAGUCACAGACCUGUUCAGUGUCCUACACUGGACCCCACCCAUUCCCCUUCAGCUCUUCUCCCUCCCCUUCUCCCCUUUCUCUCUCUCCACCUUCCCUCUCUCCCUCUCUUUUCCACUCUUGUUGUCACUUCUUAACUCAUUCCCUGAUCUGCGGCCUUGGAGUGGUCACACCCCAAGCUCUGCGUGCCCAAGGCUGAAGUCCCUGCCAAAUGGCCCUUGUGCUCGGCUGAACAUGACCCUGAUCUGAACAUGAACCUUUCAGUUCUCAGGUCACACUGACAAAUGGCUCAUAAGUUGGAGCGGAUCAGUGCUUUCGCCAGAGGAGAGAAGUUCCCAGACAGUGGUCACUCUGUCCAGGAGUCCCAGCACUGAGUUGCUGGGGCAUUGCCCACUAGGUCCCGAUGCUGGCUCUCAGGGGCCCAGGCCAAUGUUCUGCUGGGUCACCAUCUGCAAAGGAGGGCAGGCAAAUCUUCUAGCAUUCAAGGAGACCUUUUUGGUGGGCAUAUAGCUCAUGAAGCAGGAUGGGGCAGGGUUCAGGUGGGGUCAGAGGUGGGCUCAGGAACUCAGAGACUUUCCCAUGAGGAGUGGGCUCAAAGGCUCUGGCGGUCUGGGAGGACCAAGCCACACAGGAAGUGGUCAUGUCCUAUGGCAAUGCUCAGGGCCCUCAUGGCCAGGAUCUGGGGCAGAAGCGAGCCUGGAACUGAGCCUGGGGGGAGGUAAGCAGGUGCUGAGGCAUUUGGUGAGAUUUAAAGCUUAAAGCAUGUCUGUCAACUGACCCUUAACCCUGGCUUCAGUUUGACCUCUGAUCUCUGACCUAGGCAGGAAGUAACAAGGACCCUAGGGCCAAGGGCACCCAUUGGCCAACCCCAAAAUAGUGAUGUCUAUAAUGUGUGACAGAUUUAAAAAUCACUUUUAACAUGGUACUAAAAAACCUAUUGGUCCCCUUUGGAAAGAUUGCUAGGAAAU